rnacentral:misc_RNA from 1 species
AACUUUCGGCAACGGAUCUCUUGGUUCCGGCAUCGAUGAAGAACGCAGCGAAAUGCGAUAACUAAUGUGAAUUGCAGAAUUCAGUGAAUCAUCGAGUCUUUGAACGCACAUUGCGCCCCCUGGUAUUCCGGGGGGCAUGCCUGUCCGAGCGUCAUUGCUGCCCUCAAGCACGGCUUGUGUGUUGGGCUCCGUCCCCCCGGGGACGGGCCCGAAAGGCAGCGGCGGCACCGAGUCCGGUCCUCGAGCGUAUGGGGCUUUGUCACCCGCUCUGUAGGCCCGGCCGGCGCCAGCCGACAACCCAUCAUCCUUUUCAGGUUGACCUCGGAUCAGGUAGGGAUACCCGCUGAACUUAAGCAUAUCAAUAAGCGGAGGCU